GCUGCGUGCGCUGCCUGCGGGUCGGACCGUUCUGUGCAGGACACGGGCGGUUCCUCGCGGCUCGCUCGGGGCGGCACGUACCUACAGUCGAUGGCCUGUGUAAUCCCGAGGAGACAUCCAAGGAUUUACUUGUGCAGGCCGUGAAAGUGUUCGGAGUGCUUCAUGACGUCCUCCCUGCUUCCUGGAACAAAACCAGUUCCCAGCACUGCUGUUGCGCUUGUACCAUCCCAUCCUCCACCUUAAAGAAGCCCUUUCUGGCACCAGGCAGUGAGGAAUAGCAUGGGUAUAAAGAACCAUUCUGCAAGAAAGUAAGAGAAGCAAACAGGAAUGAAGAAAGGACACAAUGGGUUUUGUACUGUUCUAUUUUCUUUUCUUCUUUUUUUUUUUUUUUAAGGGAAUAACUGAAGAAUCCUUAAAUAGAGAGAAUACUUGCAGUGACUAUUCUUUACAGAAUGUACACUGACUGCUAAUCAUAUCUAAAGUGUUUGCUGGCAUUUUCCCUGACAAGCUAUUGGCCUAUUUGGUGUCUCUGGAGACUGCAUCCCUACAAGUCUGGGCUGCUGUGAUUAUUUUAGCACUCAAUGCAGGUUUCCCUGAGGAACAGUGGAGUUGUGCCAGAUGUGGUUCAUGUGCUCUGCUUCCCCUGGGCUUGGCAGGGAGGCUGUGUGCCAGCUGGAGGGGCACUAAGAGGGGACUGAAGCAAUGGCACUUGGUCCCUGCCCUGGGCCCUGGGAAAGGAGGGAUCCCCUUUCCUUCCUCCAGGCAAGGGGCUGCAGAACGUGUUGCUGCACAGACUCUUCAGCAGCAUGGGAGGGCAGACAGCUCUGACUGCAAGUCCAGAAGUUUACCUGAGGGUCACAAAAUGUUUUCCCAGUCUUUCUGGAAAUCUGGGCCAACCUGUGAUGAAGAGGAAGGUGAGAGAUGAUCUGUCUGGGAGCAGAAGGCAUUUCCAUGUUGGAUUUAUUGAAUUAUGUGUGGUUUGUGAUGGGAGAGAAUUCAGGAUGUUCCCAGCUGGGGACGGGAUGACAUACCCUUUAGUUAGAAAUCAGCCUUAACGGGUUCUUCUGGAACAGCUUUUACAGGUUCAGAGUUUUCUGGAUUCACUAAUGUCUUAAGCUCAAAGCAAAAUGUAGAAAAUAUGAAGUCUGUGAUAACAGGAAGAAAUACAAGGUUGUUUCUAUUAACCCCCGAAUCCCAUUGUCUUGAUAAAAUCACAGAAAACUGUUUUUUUUUUAAUUUUCAAAAGGGAGGAAAAGUGCAAUCUUCCACAUCUGUCCAUAUACUGCUUCAAUUUCUUGAUACCAGAAAAAUUUCUGGUUGUGGAAGUAUAAGUGUCAUUUCCAGGCUCUUUCAGAUGAUAUCUUUGCAUUGGAAUUAUCUCAGGCCUUGGAUCAUAGGGACAGACUUGAUGCAGGGAUGGGCACCAAGCCUCAUGAUAAAUACCAUUUUAUUCCUAGCUAGUGCAGUGUUGGCUGAGACUCUUGAGCAAAGGUGGAAAAGUCUGAAUUUUCUUUAUUUAAACUUCUUUAGGUGAUCAACACAGUAAAAGAGUCUGUGACAACUUUUAACCUUUUCUUUCACUGACAUGUCCUACUUAUUCCACGAACUCUAAAUUAUCUGCCUUCUCAUUUCCCUUUAGAAUCUCCUUCAGCAUCACAGUAUCACCAUCUAUUUUCUCUCAGGUGGUCUUAUUAAUACAAAUAUAACUAAAUUUUAGAUCAGUUGUUCUCGGUUGAUUUUUAUUUUUUCAAGGCUGCUGCUUCUAUUCUGGACCUGGGGAAGGACUGAUGUAUUUGAAAGCUUAUUGAUUUUUCCCAACUAGACUAGUGGGUUUAAUAACAUAGGUCUGGUAAAAGCCUUAUUUUAGUCAUAUCCUUGGAUACAUCAACAACACUGUUUUGUUAUUUCUUCUGGAAUAAUUUAUGGCUGUCAGUGUUAUGCAAAUAUCCCAGCAAUAGCUAGUAACGAUAUGGACAGUGUUACGUUGGCCUGUCAGCAAUGUUCCUAAUCUUCAUCAGGGAAAAAUAAACAGAAAAAUCUCAGGCAACUGAUGUACUGGAAGAGACUGCAAUGCAAAAGCAUCUUCUUGUUAUGAAGUUGCCAUGAUACAAUCAUUUGUUCAUUCUGGAUUGAAUCAAUGUUUUUUUUAUUCCUGUGUUUUCCUAUAUCAGAGGAAUUUGGUAUUCAGGGUGUGUUUCUCCCUGUUGGUGGAGUUUCAGAACACUUUGCAGUUUCCCUGAAGUCCCCUGGAUGAAGGGUGCUGGACAGUAUGGAAGCAGACACUUGAGUCUUGUAACACCACUAGCAGAAGAGCUGUGAUGAGCGUAGGAUGAAGUGGCAGUCAUUAACGUUGAACUGUUAAAUGAGGUACUUGGGCUGAGGUAAUUGAGUUUCUGGGAGCCAGCAGCCAUGACAGUGACAGAUCCAAGUACCAAAAUGUUACCUGUCUGUCUGCAGAUGUGUCAUAUUAGCAGCUCCAGCACUGGCCUCUUUCCUCAUGCUAACUGGGAAAAGAUGGUGGAUCUUGGCAACCAGUCCAGCAACGACUCUUCAGUGGGUAGGGGACAUGUCCUGCAUGUCUGCAAAACAGAGCCAUCCAUGUGGUCCUGCUUCAUGAUGGCUGAGACAGACAAGUGCAUUUCUCUCUUGCAUCCAUGUAGGAAAGGCAGUGGGAAAGCAAGCACACACACUUCACUCUCCUAAUCCACAUCUCCUCAGUACAAGGGACACUGCUCUUGCAGCAUGGCCCCUGGUGCCCCAAGGCAACAGGGAGCAGUGGUGAGAGUCCAACCUGCACAGCUCCUACUAAAGCUCACGAGGUCCCUUGUAAUCCUGUGACUUCUUUCUCAUCAGAGAACAACGUUGGUAAACUGGAGAGACCCAGAGGGGGCCAAGCAUCUGAACCUGCUAGUGUGUGGUGUGACGUGAGCUGUCAGGCCUCUGUGGGAGGAAACCGAGGCCACCAUAGUGCUGUUAAUCAGAUUCCCAACAAGAAAAAAAUAGCAAGUGAGCAGGUCAUCCAGGACACCAGCACAGCACUCUGUGACAUGGGCCAAAUAUAGGUUAUGUGUACAGCUUGCGAGUGCUCACCUGUCCCAGUUGUGUCUUCUGCAGGUGCUGGCGCUAACUUCCCCUCCUGGGAUUUGUUUCCAUUUACAUGAAGUUUUAAAGGCCCAUGUGGCUGGUAAGGAGCAAGAAUUAACUUUUCCUUAAAAUACCAUAGCAAAAACAAAAUUGAAAGCCUGUGAAAAGUGGAUGAAGCCAACUCUGAUGAUUUGCUUUUCCCCCCUUCAAAAUCAAAAGAUGUGGUUUUUUUUGGAAAAUGUAUACUUACGUCAUUUGUCCUCAUUUUGGUUCUUAAUAACCAGCACAGCUCAGUGAGUGCUGACUGGUUGGCUGCAAUUAACCCGUGUAAUGUUAUUUGUGGCUCUUUUUGAGAAAGAAUUGGCUUGUCUCAGCCUACAAGCCUUAUUUUAGAUAAUCCCCAUUUAAGUGCAACUGUGAUUUUAAAAGUUGUUACUUUUGUCCAUGAACGUGAUAGGAGCUUAAAGCAAAGCCCUUGAGAUGCCAGAGGAGACCCAUUACAAUUAGCAGGCAGUUUACCAGUGGCUUGGUAAGGGCAUGCUUGGGAGAGACAGGUUUUAUUCUCCACCUGCUGUUUAGACAAACCCAGCAAGGCUGAAUCACCAUGUGCCCUACAUCUGCAACCACCCUAGGCCUGAAAUAGCUGGUUCUGGAAAGUCACAUUUUGAACAAGGGGUUCAAAACAGCAACCUCACACCCACCCUUACAUCACUGAAUGUAAGGGAUUGGGCCACCUUUUCUUGCUCUUUGAAGUCCUAGUUUGUCAUUGCUGAAGUGCAGAAACUGUCCUGAAAUAAAAUUGUACCACUCAAAUCCCAACGAUGAUGUGAUCCCUCUUCUGGAGAGCACUUGCACACUAGAGGAACGUUUUAAAGCAAUAUAAUUGGCUUUCUUAGUUAAAACCUCAGCAUGAUUUCAGAAGGGAGAGGCCAGAAGGGAAGAAUCACCUUCAAAUUCAGUAAUCCCCAUUUUGAAGUGCACCGUAUUGCAAUUUAUUGCCAAGUAAAAGAUAUAUGUACAGUUCUGACAUUUAGAUUGCACUGAUGUUUCAAAAUUGAAUGCAAUAUAUUAUGUGAAGCACAUUUUCUAUGAAGUAUCUUUGUAUUUUUACAAAUGUAUUUGAAAAAUAUAUUUAGUGCUGACUAUAGCUUUCAUUUCUCUAGCAGAGAAACACUAAUUCAAGGGUUGUGUUGAAGAAAUGCUUUGAGUCGGGAACAUUUUUAACUGAAAUGCAGACUCUGUGAACGCUUCCAGGGAAGGGCACUUUGCCUGAAGAGAGUCACAUCAGAAGUUCCACCCGGCUUCUAAAUCACAGCUUUCUUGAAAAACCUUAUCAUUACACACACUUGUACUGAAAUUCAGACUGAUACAAACCAGAUCAAUUUAUAUUUGUGCUCCUACCUUGUUCAGUUACCAGCAUACAUGCAAAAUGCUGGAUGAAAAAAUACACGUGCAUUGAAAGUCCCCAUCUGAACUGAUCUCAGAGAUUUGGUGGGGAAAAUUCCUGAAAACUAGAUACAGAAACACUUAGUGCCUAAUAAUUUUGCUGGGAGGAGGUGGGCAAGCUGAGAGGGGCUCCCAGGAGCUACGCAUUAGACAUAAUAAGAACACAGAAGAUGCUGGGUUUUGGGUGAUCUGUGACUGAAAAAUGGACAACUCCUGUCAGCCCAGAGUGCAACUCCUCACCCUGCUCUAAAUCACAAGUCUCAACUUGGCCAGCGGCCCUGUGCUAAAAACACUCGUUUCUCUCCAACACAACAUCUAUAAAUGGAGCUGGGACAACUGCGUCAGCCAUCACAGAAUAUCUCAACUCGGCAGGGACCCAUAAGGAUCAUUGGGUGCAACUCAAUGCGUGCCUGGCUUGUAGGUACCUGAACUUCAGUGAAGUGGAUCCCACUGAACUUUGCUUAUAUCUGCAGUAUGCCAGGGACACAGUCACAGCAGCACCCCAGAUUUGCUGCCUUUGGCCUCAAAGUGCCUCCUCCUGCUGUCGAUGAUCCUUGUCUCCACCAGAUGGCCCAGCCAGCCUGCAGCCAGCCUUGCUCUCCCUGGCAAUCUCACCGCAGGCACAUUGUAUUAUUCAAGACUGGCACCUUUGAAGUCAGUUUAAGUUUCAAAUUAUACAGAAAAGUGGUUUUACGUACACCAAGCUAAAUAUUCAUUAGUACCUCAGAAAAUGGCAAUUUUGAAUUUGAAAUGUUUUUAGCAAUAGUGGCUCCAUAUCAAUGACUCAAUAGUACCAUGUCACUGCUGCAGAGUUUGUGAAAAGAUGGUCCCAGGACAGUCAUGCCCGGCAAAUUUAUUUUCUGUAAUAACAAAGACCAAAAUGCAAAGUGCACAGCUAAUGCAUCAGUUCUACUUUUUAAUAUGACUGUCUUACGGUUUCCUCUAAGUUACUGGAAAUAUACCCAUGACAUAUUUCCCCAUCCAAAGAUCAAUACCUGAUACAAAAAUAAAUGCUGUUGUAGAUGAAAA